rnacentral:rRNA from 1 species
AUGCUUCUGCCGGUGAUGAUCCACGGCGAGCACCUCGUGGCCCUCCUGGAUACGAGCUCCACCCAUAACUUCCUGCCCGAGUCGACCAUGCACCGCUUGGCGCUUCAGCCGACGGGCAAGGAACAGCUCCAGGUCACCGUGGCCAACGGCGACCGCCGAUGUCAUGGGAUUGCGCGGAAUGUCCCCAUCACCAUCGGCGACGAGCACUUCACCAUCACGUGCGCCGGCAUCGACUUCGGCUGCUUCGACUUCAUCCUCGGCGUCAACUUCUGCGGACGCUGGGUCCCAUCGACAUCGACGCCAUGA